CUCAGCCUUGAGCUCGUCGAUGUGGUCCUUGAGCUGCCGGAUGUACUGAGCGGCGUCCGAGUGGUUGAGCUGCCCCUGGAUCAUCCCCUCCUCCCUCUGGAUCUCCAGCUCAGCCACACGCUGUCGCAUCUCGGCCAGGGCUGCCAUGCUGUCGGCCUCGCGCAGCCGCACCGCCAUCACCUCCUCCUUGCUCUUGCACUGCGCCUCGGCGUGCUUCCGGUGGCUCUCGCUGAGCUGCGCCUGCAGCCCUUUGCUCUGCGCCGCCGCCAGACGCAGCUGCUCCCGCAGCCCCGCGCACGUCUGCUCCGCACGGCCCAGCACCGUGCGCUGGAUCUGACCCUGUGUCUCCAGUUGCAGCACCCGCUGCCGCAGCGCCCGCAGCUCAGCCUGGGCCUGAGCCUCCCGCAGCCGCGCUGCCACCACCGCCUCCUGCAGCGCGUUGGCGUUGCUCCGCCGCGGGGAAUCCUUCCAGCGCCCCCCCGCACGGCCCGCCUGC
rnacentral:lncRNA from 1 species